AUUGAACGCUGGCGGCAGGCCUAACACAUGCAAGUCGAACGAGUGGCGGACGGGUGAGUAAUGUCUGGGAAACUGCCUGAUGGAUGGGGAUAACUACGGGAAACGGUAGCUAAUACCGCAUACCAUCGGAUGUGCCCAGAUUGGAUUAGCUAGUAGGUGGGGUAAAGGCUCACCUAGGCGACGAUCCCUAGCUGGUCUGAGAGGACGACCGGACACGCUGGAACUGAGACACGGUCGAGACUCCUGCGGGAGGCAGCCGUGGGGAAUAUUGCACAAUGGGCGCAAGGCUGAUGCAGCCAUACCGCGUGUAUGAAGAAGGCCUUCGGGUUGUAAAGUACUUUCAGCGGGGGGGCGUUACCCGCAGAAGAAGCACCGGCUAACUCCGUGCCAGCAGCCGCGGUAAUUC
rnacentral:rRNA from 1 species